rnacentral:tRNA from 1 species
GGAGAGGUGGCUCAGUGGUGAAGAGCAUUUGCUGCUCUUGCAGAGGAUCCGGGUUCAAUUCCCAGCAUCCA